rnacentral:rRNA from 1 species
CCCUGCUCAAUGGUUUAAACUAAAUAGCCGCAGUACUUUGACUGUGCAAAGGUAGCAUAAUCAUUUGGCUUAUAAUUGAAGUCUGGUAUGAAUGGGUAAAUGGAUAAUAACUAUCUACCAUUACAAAUUGAAUUUACUUAUUAAGUGAAAAUUCUUAUAGAAGAAAAAUAGACGAGAAGACCCUAGAAAUUUUUUAUACAUAUACUAAAAUAAUCUAUUUUGUUGGGGCGACAUGGUAGCAGUUAACCUACAUAAUAUAAUUAAAAAUUACUGAAAGAUAUAAUUAAAUUACUCUAGGGAUAACAGCAUAAUACAUAAGAGUUUGUGACCUCGAUGUUGGACUAGGUAAAUUAAUGUUUAGAAGAUGUUAA